rnacentral:lncRNA from 1 species
AGAAAAAAUAUCCGUGUUAAAAAAAGAAGGGUAAAGUUCAUGUAGCUCUCUGUAAAUAUAUCGAAUAACAAAUAUAUCCCUACAAAGUUUAAUUUUUCAUAUUUAUAUCCCUUCAAAAGUCUAGUGAUAUUCAUAUUUUACUCCUCCGGUAUGUUAUCGUUAGGGCAUUAUUUAACUUUUAGCAGAAGAUAAGUGAAAUGACAUUUUUGCCAUUACAGAUAUGUCCCUCCAAAAGUUUCAACUGUUAAAAUUAUGUAGAAAUAUUUUUCUAAAAAUCUCUAACAGUUAUUUUUUUUUUCUCUACCAUCACAAAUAAUGUAAGAGGAGUAAAAAAGAUGAAUUUAUAUUAUUCACUAAUCAGAAUUAAGUUUUUUUAACCUAUGGUUAAUUAUAUAUUUCCAAUGGAUCCUAAAAUCAGGAGUAUAUUUGAAAACACUAGAAUUUUAUAUGAAAAGCUAAUUUUUUAGGAAUAUAUAUAUCUACUAUUCGUUAUGUUUAUAAGUAGCUGUACUAUACAAUUA